rnacentral:rRNA from 1 species
UACGAAGGGGGCUAGCGUUGUUCGGAUUUACUGGGCGUAAAGCGCACGUAGGCGGUUUGUUAAGUCAGAGGUGAAAUCCCGGAGCUCAACUCCGGAACUGCCUUUGAUACUGGCAAGCUAGAGUCCGGAAGAGGUAAGUGGAACUCCUAGUGUAGAGGUGGAAUUCGUAGAUAUUAGGAAGAACACCAGUGGCGAAGGCGGCUUACUGGUCCGGAACUGACGCUGAGGUGCGAAAGCGUGGGGAGCAAACAGGAUUAGAAACCCGGUAGUCC